AGCGCCCCCGCCGGCUCCCCGCCCUCCGACUUCCCCCGGACGCCGGCCAGGACCCCGAGGACAGCAGGGAGAGUGGCGGCUAGACAGGAUACCCCGGGGCCGGAACGUCCGGGACGCCGAGGCCCCCACUGCUUCGCUCCCGCUCGCCCCUGCGACCUCGGGCCCAGCGCGCACGCCAGCCCCAGUAGCUCAGGGUAGAACCUCUCAUCCUGCCCAACAGCAGUUCCCUUGAAGGAACUGCCCCCAAGAGCAGCAUUUUCCAGAAGAUGGCGCCUGCAGAACGUUGUCCCUGACCAAAGCCACCCACAGAGAGCAAAGCGCCCGGACCACCCGAAGCAGUUAUCAGAAAGGCCUGUCAGGUGCCUGACUUCAACAAUUCCAAGACUAGAUCCCAGCCCACGACAGCCUCAGCCCCUCUCACCUGCCAAGAAAGAGCCUGCACUUUGAGUCGCUUGUGCCCAACCCAGAC